rnacentral:tRNA from 1 species
GCGGGUGUAGUACAAUGGCAGUACAUUAGCUUCCCAAGCUAAGGACGCGAGUUCGAUUCUCGUCACCCGCU